UACGUAGGGUGCGAGCGUUGUCCGGAAUUAUUGGGCGUAAAGAGCUCGUAGGCGGUGUGUCACGUCGGCCGUGAAAACCUGGGGCUUAACUCUGGGCGUGCGGUCGAUACGGGCAGGCUGGAGUUCGGUAGGGGAGACUGGAAUUCCUGGUGUAGCGGUGAAAUGCGCAGAUAUCAGGAGGAACACCGGUGGCGAAGGCGGGUCUCUGGGCCGAUACUGACGCUGAGGAGCGAAAGCGUGGGGAGCGAACAGG
rnacentral:rRNA from 1 species